AGGGUCUUUUCAAAUAUAUUUCUUUCCCUCCUAAUCUCAGCCCUGCUUUGCACCCUGCCUAAAAAUCUGGGUUUUGAAGAUCUUCAAGUUGGGGAAACGGCAAGAAGGUUGCCUAUUUGUGGGCACCCUGCUUAAAAAUCUGGGUUUUGAAGGUCUCCAAGUUGGGGAAACAGCAAGAAGGUUGCCUAUUUGUGGGCACCCUGCCUGAACUUCUGUGAGCAUAAAAAUGUAGCCUUAUCCUAGAUGUGGCGAUUGCAUUACAGCCCCUAUGCAGUGAUGGUGAAACAAGGGCAUUUCCCCUUUCUCUCUGUAUUUGUCAUUAUCAACAUCUCUUUCUUUAGGGGUAGGAGCAGCUCCCCAAGCCUCCUUGGUAGAGAGUGAGAUGGAUGAUCUUAGAGGUGGAGUGAGAAUGUGGGAGAAAGAUGGAGUUUUCACAAAGUGGCAGAGUAAUAAUAAAGGGAGUGUAGCGAAAGAGUUUGAAAUAAUACUCCUGUUAGAAUUAUACACCUUGUUAUGUCUAAUAAUGUUUUUCUCUCGCCCAUAGAAAAAAAAGAAGUGAUUAAUUAUCCCAUUUUGUCUCAGUUGUUUAGUCAAUAACAUUAACUUUUGAAUAUAUAGCAUUCUCUUGAAUGCAAAUUGACUAUUUCUCUUAGAACCAUAUGCUACUUUUAUAGCUUUGUUUUCAAAAUAGAACUCUUCACAUGAGUUUUACCUUGCACUUGUUUCAUUUGUUCGCAUUUUUACUUACAUUAUUUCGUGAUGCUAUGGACUUGCUUGUGCUGGGGAUUUUCUUAGUGAAGACGUAUAAGAGGAUAUUGUUUGCUGAGGUGAGGAGCUAUGAUAAGGCCUUGAGCAUAAAUCACUAUCUGCUGCUCUUUGCUGCACUUGCUCAGUUUCCACUCUUCUUCUGGCUUGGAUACCUUGGUGCAUGACAUAACUGCACCCUCUUAUGUUUCUUUAUGUUGGGGACAAGUGACCGGGCUCCUAUUAUUUGGAUUGAGCUAAUCAAGCUACCAUGGACAUGUCAAUGCAGUUGGGGAUUAAGGACCGGGCUCCCCUUCUUGGGAGUGAGGCAGUCAAGCUACCCAAUUGGCCUCAAUUAUUCUGUGAAGUGCUUGUUACUGGGUUGAGGGAUUAUGUUUUCGAGAGGCUUAUAGAUAUGAAUGUCAUCUGUCUCAAGAUUUGUACUUAAAUAAAAAUUCAUUGAGGUUGAAUUCCAAUGAUUUAGGUCCACUUUGUGUCAUAAGAUCUACAUAAUGAGAAUUUGCUUUAUGUUUA